CUUUUGGUGCGAUGUGAUUUUGUUUAAGCUUGAAAAAGUGAGAAUUUGCAACCUAAAAAAAGCUCCUAUUUGCAAGAUUGGCUUUUAUAGGGCCGAAUCUAAAUCUAUGCAUCGACCACUUGGGU
rnacentral:ncRNA from 1 species